GGGCCGUUAGCUCAGACCGGUAGAGCAGCGGACUUUUAAUCCGUUGGUCGCGCGUUCGAUUCGCGCACGGCCCA
rnacentral:tRNA from 4 species